rnacentral:tRNA from 1 species
UUUAAUUGAAACCAAAAAAGAGGUAUAUUACUGUUAAUGAUACUAUUGAGAUUUCCCCUCCAAUUAA